UUUGAUUUUCUUUCCAUAAAAUCAAGAUGAUCAAACCAAUGAACAAGGUGAAAGAUUUUACCAACACAUCUGAGACAGAAAGAAGAUAUCAAAGCUUCAAACUCGAUUAACUGAUGUUGAGCAUAUAAAGAAAUGUGUUUAAUGAAUGUUUGAAUGCAGAUCACCUAAGAACGGGUUAAGGAAUCGUUCACAAAUUUUGGAGAAGUCAUUUGAUUUUCUUUCCAUAAAAUCAAGAUGAUCAAACCAAUGAACAAGGUGAAAGAUUUUACCAACACAUCUGAGACAGAAAGAAGAUAUCAAAGCUUCAAACUCGAUUAACUGAUGUUGAGCAUAUAAAGAAAUGUGUUUAAUGAA